rnacentral:rRNA from 1 species
AGAGUUUGAUCAUGGCUCAGGAUAAACGCUGGCGGUGUGCUUUAUGCAUGCAAGUCGAACGGGCUUUAGCAAUAAAGUCAGUGGCAGACGGGUGAGUAACACGUAAGUACCUACCCUAAAGUGGGGAACAACUCCUAGAAAUGGGAGCUAAUACCGCAUGUGAUCCUUCUUUUUAAUUUGGGAGAUUAAAGCCGAAAGGCGCUUUUGGAGGGACUUGCGUCCGAUUAGAUUGUUGGUGGGGUAACGGCCUACCAAGUCUGCGAUCGGUAGCUGGUUUGAGAGGACGACCAGCCACACGGGGACUGAGACACGGCCCCGACUCCUACGGGAGGCAGCAGCAAGGAAUAUUGGGCAAUGGGCGAAAGCCUGACCCAGCGACACCGCGUGGGGGAAGGAGACCUUCGGGUUGUAAACUCCUUUUAUUGGGGAAGAAUAAUGACGGUACCCAAUGAAUAAGCCCCGGCUAACUACGUGCCAGCAGCCGCGGUAAUACGUAGGGGGCGAGCGUUAUCCGGAUUUACUGGGCGUAAAGCGGGUGUAGGCGGUCUGUCAAGUCAGAUGUGAAAUCUCCCGGCUCAACUGGGAGGGUGCAUUUGAUACUGAUGGGCUAGAGUGCAGCAGAGGAAGAUGGAAUUCCCGGUGUAGUGGUGAAAUGCGUAGAUAUCGGGAAGAACACUAGUGGCGAAGGCGGUCUUCUGGGCUGUAACUGACGCUGAGACCCGAAGGCGUGGGUAGCAAACAGGAUUAGAUACCCUAGUAGUCC